UCCCGGCAGCGCCCGCCGCGUCUCCCCCGCUCCGCUCCGCUCCGCGCAUGUGCCGCGCCCGCCCCUCCCCCGCGCGGCGGCCGGAGCCAGCGGCGGCGGCCGGGCAGGAUGAAGGACCGGACCGGGGAGCUGCGCGCCGCAAAGGACAGUGAUGACGAUGAUGAAGUCACCGUCAGUGUGGACCGGGACCGCUUCAUGGAUGAGUUCUUUGAGCAGGUGGAAGAAAUUCGAGGGUUCAUUGAUAAAAUUUCAGAGAAUGUGGAGGAAGUGAAGAGGAAGCACAGCGCCAUCCUCGCUUCGCCCAACCCCGAUGAGAAAACGAAGGAGGAGCUGGAGGAGCUGAUGUCUGACAUAAAGAAGACAGCGAACAAAGUGCGCUCCAAGCUAAAGAGUAUUGAGCAGAGUAUUGAACAAGAGGAAGGACUGAACAGGUCAUCUGCUGACCUGCGGAUAAGGAAAACUCAGCACUCUACGCUGUCACGCAAGUUUGUGGAGGUGAUGUCCGAGUACAACGCCACACAGACUGACUACCGGGAGCGCUGCAAGGGCAGGAUUCAGAGGCAGCUGGAGAUCACUGGGAGGACCACCACCAGUGAGGAGCUGGAGGACAUGCUGGAGAGCGGCAACCCAGCCAUCUUCUCGUCUGGGAUCAUUAUGGAUUCAAACAUCACUAAGCAGGCACUGAAUGAGAUUGAAACACGGCACAGUGAGAUCAUCAAACUGGAGAACAGCAUCCGAGAGCUGCAUGACAUGUUCAUGGACAUGGCCAUGCUGGUGGAGAGCCAGGGCCGCUGGGCAGGGUGACACCCACACAGCGCUGGGGAGCAGGAAGGAGCUCACGUCUGGGCUUGCGUGGGCCCUGUCCCCGCUCUGCAGGGAGAGAUGAUUGACCGUAUCGAGUACAAUGUGGAGCACUCGGUGGACUACGUGGAGCGGGCUGUGUCUGACACCAAAAAAGCGGUGAAGUACCAGAGCAAAGCCAGACGGAAGAAGAUCAUGAUCAUCAUCUGCUGCGUGAUCCUGGGUAUCGUCAUUGCCUCCACCUUCGGCGGCAUUUUCGGCUAGACUCACCCCCACGGGACAGUUUGUGUGCAAUGGAUGAAGCCGCGCCUGCCAUGGGGCCGCAGCCACGCCGGAGUGACCCAUGCAGCCCCGGAGCCUCCCAGCAGCAUUUCAGUUUCUAAUGCAUGGUUGUUUGUGAUGCUGUGUGUGCGGUGCGGUGCAUCUGUGUGGAGGGAGCACCGGCCCCGGGGUGCAGGCAGGGUGCAGGGGACAGUGAUGGGUGCAAGGGGAACCCUUGGCGGGGGGACCCGAGCCCUCAUCACUGUUCCAGCCUGGGUGGCUGGUGGGGACAGAGGUGCCCAUGGGCGCUGUUGCUCCUCCUGGGCUGGGCAGGCUGGGGUGGCCACAGCCAAGGAUGAGGAGGGACCGACAAAGAGUGUUCAGGGUCCUUGGGAGCACAGUCCCCAGUCAACCUCCCCCAGCAUCCCCAUCACCUCCAGCCAGAGCUCUCACGUCUGUCAGCCACAUCUGUGCUUGCAAACACCUUUCCUUGGGCUGCUUCUCCUGCAGGGCCCUUCCCCAGGGGUGCACUCUGCCAGGUCCCUGCCUGUCCUGUGGCCAUGCCCGGCUGCAAGACCUCGCCCCAGUGUGGGUGCCAGGGGCUGGAUGUGCCGCUGCUGGUGGCGGGUGCCUGAUGGAGCAGUGUGGGAUGAGGAGCUGCUGCUUUGGGGCCACCACGGUGGCUUGGGGAUGGGGACCGGCUAUGUGGGGGCCUGUGCUACACCCUGGUGCUGGUCUGGUGGGGCAGGAGAGUAUAGGGACUUUCAGGCCAGUGUGUUUCACUGGCCGCUCACUCUGCAACCAAGCAUCAUUGGUCUGUUCUCAGCCCCAAGACAUGGUAGCCCUGGCUCCUGCUGUCCCCAGGCAUGGGCUGUGCUCCCUGCAGGCCCUGACAGCGCUCAGCCGGGAGCGGGGCUGCCUCCGGCCCCACUUCUCCACACAGGCACCUGUGGGUGGGGGCUGGAGGCACUUGGGCUUUCUCCUGUUGUGGUCCCAGGAGCAGCCCUGGUUGCACCCACGCCCCUGCAAGCGAGAGCAGCAGCCUUCAUCCAUCUCCUCCUCCUCUGUGCUACCAGCCCCUGAGCCGGGCAGCGCCUGACUGACGCUUCCCACUCUCUGCCACCUUUUGGCACCUGCCUGCCCCGUCACCUCCUCCUGGCACAGCACCCUUCUGCCUGCUUGCCCUCUGAGCCAUCCAGCGAGGCACCCACACUUGGGGAGAUGGUGCCCUGUGCCCCCCACCAUGCCAGCCACAUGGGUGCAGCCCCCGUGGGGUGGCCUGAGCCUGCUGCCAGCUUGGAGGGGCCCAGUGUUGCUACUGUCCCUCUUCCUCAGGCUGGGGGGCAGGGCUCUGCCCACACAUUCCUCGGGAGCCUCCAGGGCUCCAGCUCACCUGUGCACAUGCCAAAGUGCUAGAGGAGCCCAAAGCAAGGCAGGCACCUGAGGCCAAGCUCACAGCCACCCACUGGGACAGGGGCUGGACACAAACCCAGAUGCUGGAAGCAGAAAAAGGGCACCUGAUGGCACCUGGUAGCAUGUCACCUCCCUGCUCCAACUGGGGUGAGGGCAGCAGCUCCACCCUGCGCUCCCCUGGCUGGGGGCUGCAGUGUGGAUGCUGAUGCUGACCCACGCGUGGUGCCCAUGGCUGCAGGGGUAGAGGAGGUGGCUGGAGCCAGGACAUGGUGCUGCCUUCCCCAGGUGCAGCCCUGCCCUGCAGCCACCCCAACACGGCUCCUUCCGUGCCCCAGGCCCCACCAUCCAGCCUCUGGGUGCAUUAAGCUGCCCCAGGGAAGCAUGUCCAGCUGGGGUCCUCUGCCCAGCCCAAGCCCCCAAUGGGUGCUGGGCCAUGAGAAAACCGAAGACCAGAGCCUCCUUCUUCCACAGUCCCACCACCAACAUGAGCUCCAGCACCGCAGCCUGUGUGCACAGAAAGGCUGGCGGCACCAGGACCCCCACGAGCGGGGGCAGCUCUGGAGCCCCCCUCCAGUAGGCCAGGAGACACACAGGCAGGGUCUCGGCUCUGUGAGGAUGUGUCUGGCUACAGGAAAGGGACCUGGAGGUGACACCAGCUGCUCCUGCCCCUGUGCAGCUACCUGCCCCACAGCACGCUCUGCUCUGCCGAGCCAGUGAGCACCAGGCCUCCUCCUCCAGGAAGCAAUAACGCUGCUGGGGGCGCUGCUCCAAGGCAGGCAGGCAAAACACGCUCCUCUCAGGCUCCCGCCCUGCAGCGAUGCCCACUGCAAGCACAAGGUGACUUUUUUUUUCUUCCAAGCAGCUGCUUUUGUGGCACAAGCUCACACGCCAUCAGGGCUGUGGCCCACCCCUGUCAAAGGCACGAGGCCAAGAACAGCACUGGGGGAGUCCUGGCACUUGCUCCUUCCUUGUUGGUCCCACCACCACCAGCAGCCCCCAGCAGCAGGAGCUGGAUGGGGCCACAGCUGAGCGUUCUGCUGGGAUCCUGCGGGUGGUGGUGGCCCCAGGCUCCGGCACAAGGGAGGCAGAGGAGCAGGCUGCCCUCGCCGCCCCGCACGCAGGCUCACACUGUCCUUGCUGUGAGGGGAGGGUGUUUUGGUGCAAUAAUUACCCCUGCACUAUGGGAAGCCCCGUUCAGUUCCUUUUUACCUACCCCGUUGUUGCAUGUACAGACCAAAUCACCAACAGUGUGGUUGUGCUUUGGGAAGACAUUUCACUUUUUCUUUCCAGCCCUCAACCUCAGACCGCUUGUCCUUUGGGUUUCACCACCUCUGUUCCAAGUGCCACCUGCCCUCCCAGCGCCGGGAGCGUGGCGAUGCAGUAUUCCACCAACAGUGUGGGGCAUGCACAGCUUGCACUCGAACUGGGGAUUGGUUUUUCUUUUCUUUUUUUUUUUUUUUUUUUGUAAUUAAUGUACUUGAAGGCUUUCCGAGCCCCUGUGGAGUUGUACUGUUGCUGUACUGUGAGCUAAGUGUCCUUGUUUUCUAUGUGGAUCUUGACCCUGGCUUGCUCUGUCUCACUGGGCUGGAUGACACUGUAUGUUGCCUCUUUUCUCCUCCCCCCUUUCCCUCCCUGCUAGCCUCCCUUUCUUCUCCCAAAGCUUUGGGGUGCAAAACAGCUUCCCAUUUUGUGGAAUUUUUAUGUAGAAUAAACAUUUGUAACUGUAAA